GAGAUUCUGAAUCUCAAAACCAAUGAAAGUUUCAAAAGUUGAAAAAUUGACUUUCAUCCUUGAAUCCAGUGUACAAGUAAGCUGGUAACUCUCAGACCAAGAUUCAGCACCCCUGAGACUUGAGAAACCGUGAGUCCACUAAGGAGACACAGUCUAGAGGAUGGAUGGAAGGUCUCAUACACAGAUCAAGUCCACAGUUGAGAUUGUUAUUUGCCUCUUCUCUUCUGCCUGGGCACUGCCAAAGAAAAAAGGAGAUUGUAGCAAUUCACUGGACCCAGAACCUAGUUGAGGGAGCAUUGUGACAUGCCACUGGGCUCAGCACCCAGGUGAUGUUCCUCUCCUGCCUGGUCCCUUCCAUCAGGGAAUAUUGUACAAAUCUCUGGCCAAGCACCCAGUUGAUGUGACUCUCCUGCUCACUACCUACUCACAGGUUACAUGUCCCAUGUCGCAGAAAAUGUUGUAAUGUAUUGCUGGACCCAGUCACCAGAUGAUGUGUCUCUCCUGCCAAGGCUGUGCCCACAGAGAGCAUUUUGACAUAUCACUGGGCUCAGCACCCAGGUGAAAUGACUCUGCUGCCUGUACUCUGCUUUAAGAGGGGAUUGUAAUAUAUCUGUGGCUGAGCACCUAGGUGAGAUGACUUCUGCGUGGUUUCUGACCUCAGGAAAGAUUGUGACAUAUCUUUGCCGAAAACCUACAUGAUGUGAAUCUGCUGCUCACUUCCUACCGACAGUCUCCAAAGUUAUCAGAAACCUGCAUUUAAAAAUACCUGGCAAAGUUCCAUAGCGGACCAUAAAUCACCUCUUGAAGAGGAUCGAAUCAAGACAACAAUUGUCUGAGGGAUUGAGACAAUUCUGGAAGCCCAGCACCUAGGUGAUGUGACUUUCAUCUUUUGUUUGGACCGUGUGCACAAAAGGAAGAGUGGCUUAUCACUGGACCUCACACACAGGAGGUAUUGUGACAUAUUCCUGGAGCAAGUACCCAGGUAAUGUAACUCUUUUCUACUGCUUGGACUCUACCCAAGGAGAGAUUCUAAUGUAUCACUGGACCCAGCACCUAGGUUACGUGACUUUCCUCUUGUGUCUGAGUCUUGCAUAAAUUGUGUAUUGUGACAAAUCUCUGGGUCUAAAACCUAGGUGAUGAGACUCUUAUGCAUGAGCCCUGCUUACAGGGAUAUUAUGACAUAUCUUUUUUUUUUAAUCACCUAUGUGAUGUGCCUUUGUUUGUGUGUGUGUGUGUGUGUGCGUCCUGGCCCUGCCAAAAGUGGGGAUUGUAACAUAUCAUUAAACUUAGUACCAAGGUGUUAUGACUCACCUUGUUUGCCUGGGCCCUGCAUAUAUUUGGUAAUGUGACGUAUGGCUGAGACAAACACCUAGGGCAUGAGAGCCUUGUGCCUGGGUCCUGCCCACAAGGAGCCUUUUGGCUUAUCUCUGCAUCCAUGAACUAGGAGAUGUGACUCUUCUUUUCUGUCUGGGUUCUGCAAAAACAAGUGAUUGUGACAUAUCAUCAAACCCAGCAACUAGACGAUGUGAUUUUUCUUCCCUGCUUGAGCCCUGGAUAUGCUGUGCAUUGUGAUAUAUGGCUGGGUCCAACAUCAAGGAGAGAUUGUGACAUAUCUCUGGAACCAGAACCUUGGUGAUGUGACUCUUCUCUCCUGCUGAAGCCAUGCCCACACAAGGGAAAGUGACUUAUCACUGGGCCCAGCACACAGGUGGAUGGUGACUCUAAGACCAGGAUUCAACACAACUAGAAGGCUUUGACUCUAAUACGAGUCACAGAAGGCUCUGCGACUCUUCUAUUUUCUCUAGGUUAUGCAAAUGGAGGUGGAUUGUGACAUAUCAUAGGGCCAACACAACACACAGUCUACAGGUGGAAUUGGGACUCUCAUGCAUGGAUCCAGUUCAUCAUUGAUACUGUGACUCAGGUGGGAUUUUGACAUAUAACUGCACCCAGCACACAGGUGAGAUUGUGACUCUUGUAUGCUCAUCCUGCCAAAAGUUGAGUGUCACCCUCACACAUGGACAGAGACUUCUGUGGUCCAUUACAUUGAUGACAUUAUGCUGAUUGAAUCCAGUAAGCAAGAAAUAGCAAACACACCAGACUUAUUCAUGAGACGUUUGCAUGCCAGAGGAUGGAAAAUAAGUCUGACUAAAAUUUAGAGACCUUCUAGCUCAGUAAAACUUCCAGGGGUCCAGUGGUCCAAGGCCUGUCAAGAUAGUCCUUCUAAGGUAAAAGGUAAGUUGCUGCAUUUGGCCCAUCCUACAACCAAGAAAGAGGCACAAUGUCUAGUGGGCCUAUUUGGGUUUUGGAGGCAACCUAUUCCUCAUUUGGGUGUGUUACUCUGGCCCAUUUAUUGAGUGACCCAAAAAGCUGCCAGUUCUGAGUGUGGUCCAGAAAAGGAGAAGGCUCUGCAACAGGUCCAGGCUGCUGUGCAAGCUGCUCUGCCACUUGGGCCAUAUUACCCAGGAGAUCCAAUGGAUCUUGAGUUGUCAGUGUAAAAUAAGGAUGCUAUUUGUAGCCUUUGGCAGGCCCCCUUAGGUGAAUCACAGCAGAGGCCUCUAGAAUUUUGUUCUUUC
rnacentral:lncRNA from 1 species